UAGUCCACGCUGUAAACGAUGAGUGCUAGGCGUUGCGGCCAUUGAUCGCUGCAGUGCCGAAGCUAACGCAUGAAGCACUCCGCCUGGGGAGUACGGUCGCAAGACUAAAACUCAAAGGAAUUGACGGGGGCCCGCACAAGCGGUGGAGCAUGUGGUUUAAUUCGAUGCAACGCGCAGAACCUUACCUGGGUUUAAACUGCAGUGGACCGGUGCAGAGAUGUAUCUUCCCUUCGGGGCUGCUGUAGAGGUGCUGCAUGGCUGCCGUCAGCUCGUGUCGUGAGAUGUUGGGUUAAGUCCCGCAACGAGCGCAACCCUUGUCCCUAGUUGCCAGCGGUUCGGCCGGGAACUCUGGGGAGACCGGCCGGUGUUAAACCGGAGGAAGGUGGGGGAUGGACGUCAAGUCCUCAUGGGCCUUUAUGCCCAGGGGCUACACACGUGCUACAAUGGUCGGUACAAUGGGGUUGCC
rnacentral:rRNA from 1 species